GCAUUCGAAACUGGCAGGCUUGAGUCUUGUAGAGGGGGGUAGAAUUCCAGGUGUAGCGGUGAAAUGCGUAGAGAUCUGGAGGAAUACCGGUGGCGAAGGCGGCCCCCUGGACAAAGACUGACGCUCAGGUGCGAAAGCGUGGGGAGCAAACAGGAUUAGAUACCCUGGUAGUCCACGCCGUAAACGAUGUCUACUUGGAGGUUGUGCCCUUGAGGCGUGGCUUCCGGAGCUAACGCGUUAAGUAGACCGCCUGGGGAGUACGGCCGCAAGGUUAAAACUCAAAUGAAUUGACGGGGGCCCGCACAAGCGGUGGAGCAUGUGGUUUAAUUCGAUGCAACGCGAAGAACC
rnacentral:rRNA from 2 species